rnacentral:rRNA from 1 species
GACGAACGCUGGCGGCGUGCUUAACACAUGCAAGUCGAACGGAAAGGCCCUGCUUUUGUGGUGUUCUCGAUUGUCGAACGCGUGAGUAACACGUGAGUAACCUGCCCUUGACUUUGGUAUAACUUCAGGAACCUGUGGCUAAUACCGUAUCGGAUCUCCUGCUGCAUGGUAGGCGUUGGAACUUUUCGGCUGUUGGGGAUAGACUCGCGGCUUAUCAGCUUGUUGGUGGUGUAGUUGCUUGCCCAGGCUUUGACGGGUAGCCGACCUGAGAGGGUGAACGGCCACAAGGGGACUGAGGGACGGAGCAGACGGGUAUGGGAGGCAGCAGGGGGGAACAUGGCACAGUGGGAGGAAGCCGGAGGAAGAAACGUCGCGGUCGGGAAGACGGCUUUUGGGGAGUAAAAAGCUGUAGCCUGUGACGAAGCGGGAGUGACGGUAAUGGGUAAAGAAGCACCGGCUAACUACGUG